rnacentral:rRNA from 1 species
UGGGGAAUAUUGCACAAUGGGCGCAAGCCUGAUGCAGCCAUGCCGCGUGUGUGAAGAAGGCCUUCGGGUUGUAAGGCACUUUCAGCGAGGAGGAAGGGUAGUGUGUUAAUAGCACAUUGCAUUGACGUUACUCGCAGAAGAAGCACCGGCUAACUCCGUGCCAGCAGCCGCGGUAAUACGGAGGGUGCAAGCGUUAAUCGGAAUUACUGGGCGUAAAGCGCACGCAGGCGGUUUGUUAAGUCAGAUGUGAAAUCCCCGCGCUUAACGUGGGAACUGCAUUUGAAACUGGCAAGCUAGAGUCUUGUAGAGGGGGGUAGAAUUCCAGGUGUAGCGGUGAAAUGCGUAGAGAUCUGGAGGAAUACCGGUGGCGAAGGCGGCCCCCUGGACAAAGACUGACGCUCAGGUGCGAA